rnacentral:rRNA from 1 species
AGCGAGCGCUGGCGGCAGGCCUAACACAUGCAAGUCGAACGAACUCUUCGGAGUUAGUGGCGGACGGGUGAGUAACACGUGGGAACGUGCCUUUUGGUUCGGAAUAACUCAGGGAAACUUGUGCUAAUACCGAAUGUGCCCUUCGGGGGAAAGAUUUAUCGCCAUUAGAGCGGCCCGCGUCUGAUUAGCUAGUUGGUGAGGUAACGGCUCACCAAGGCGACGAUCAGUAGCUGGUCUGAGAGGAUGACCAGCCACACUGGGACUGAGACACGGCCCAGACUCCUACGGGAGGCAGCAGUGGGGAAUCUUGCGCAAUGGGCGAAAGCCUGACGCAGCCAUGCCGCGUGAAUGAUGAAGGUCUUAGGAUUGUAAAACUCUUUCACCGGGGACGAUAAUGACGGUACCCGGAGAAGAAGCCCCGGCUAACUUCGUG